AUUGAACGCUGGCGGCAUGCUUUACACAUGCAAGUCGAACGGUAACAGGGUGCUUGCACCGCUGACGAGUGGCGAACGGGUGAGUAAUGCGUCGGAACGUGCCGGGUAGUGGGGGAUAACGCAGCGAAAGUUGUGCUAAUACCGCAUACGUACUGAGGUAGGAAGUGGGGGACCUUCGGGCCUCACGCUAUUCGAGCGGCCGACGUCUGAUUAGCUAGUAGGUGAGGUAAAGGCUCACCUAGGCGACGAUCAGUAGCGGGUCUGAGAGGAUGAUCCGCCACACUGGGACUGAGACACGGCCCAGACUCCUACGGGAGUCAGCAGUGGGGAAUUUUGGACAAUGGGCGAAAGCCUGAUCCAGCCAUGCCGCGUGUCUGAAGAAGGCCUGCGGGUUGUAAAGCACUUUCGGUGGGGAGGAAGGCUCAACGGUUAAUAGUCGUUGGGAUUGACGUUACCCACAGAAGAAGCACCGGCUAACUCUGUGCCAGCCGCCGCGGUAAGAC
rnacentral:rRNA from 1 species